rnacentral:rRNA from 1 species
AGUGAACGCUGGCGGUAUGCCUAAUACAUGCAAGUCGAGCGGAAAGAUGAGGAGAUCGCGCCUCUGACGGUAGCGGCGGACGGGCGGGUGACGCGUGGAUAGGAAUCUACUUUUUCUGGGAUAACAUCGUAAAAACGCAGCUACUACCACAGCAUAUGAUCAACCGCUGGAAGCAGUGGUUCAUGACGGCUUUGGCGUCAGUAUUAGCUGGAUUCGGGCCGCAUUAGCUAGUUGGUAAGGUAACGGCCUACCAAGGCAACGAUGCGUAGCCGACCUGAGAGGAUGAUCGGCCACACUGGAACUGAGACACGGUCCAGACUCCUACGGGAGGCAGCAGUGGGGAAUCUUCCGCAAUGGGCGCAAGCCUGACGGAGCAACGCCGCGUGAGUGAUGAAGGUCUUCGGAUCGUAAAGCUCUUUUAUUGGGGAAGAACAGAUGCGUAAUUAACUAUGCAUGUCUUGACGGUACCUAAUCAGUAAGCCACGGCUAACUUCGUG